rnacentral:misc_RNA from 1 species
ACAAACUUGGUCAUUUAGAGGAAGUAAAAGUCGUAACAAGGUCUCCGUAGGUGAACCUGCGGAGGGAUCAUUGAUGAAAACACUGGUCGAUGUGCUGGCAAACCAAGCAUGUGCACUCGAUCAAAAUCCAUCCCACACCUGUGAACCUUUAAGACCGAGCCCCUCGUUGGGAACGGUCCUUUUUACACGCUUGUCCACGAAUGUCAUUUUGCUUUGGCAAUCUUGUACAACUUUCAACGACGGAUCUCUUGGCUCUCGCAUCGAUGAAGAACGCAGC